GGCGGCAGGCCUAAAACAUGCAAGUCGAACGGACCUUCGGGGUUAGUGGCGGACGGGUGAGUAACACGUGGGAACGUGCCCUUUGGUUCGGAACAACUCAGGGAAACUUGAGCUAAUACCGAAUGUGCCCUACGGGGGAAAGAUUUAUCGCCAUUGGAGCGGCCCGCGUUGGAUUAGCUAGUUGGUGAGGUAAAGGCUCACCAAGGCUACGAUCCAUAGCUGGUCUGAGAGGAUGAUCAGCCACACUGGGACUGAGACACGGCCCAGACUCCUACGGGAGGCAGCAGUUAGGAAUCUUGCGCAAUGGGCGAAAGCCUGACGCAGCCAUGCCGCGUGAAUGAUGAAGGUCUUAGGAUUGUAAAAUUCUUUCAGCGGGGACGAUAAUGACGGUACCCGCAGAAGAAGCUCCGGCUAACUUCGUGCCAGCAGCCGCGGUAAUACGAAGGGGGCUAGCGUUGCUCGGAAUUACUGGGCGU
rnacentral:rRNA from 1 species